rnacentral:rRNA from 1 species
AGCAGCCGCGGUAAUUCCAGCUCCAAUAGCGUAUAUUAAAGUUGUUGCAGUUAAAAAGCUCGUAGUUGAAUUUCGGGGUCAGUAGGUCGGUCGUGCCACUGGUAUGUACUGAUCUAACUGAUUCCUCCCUCUUGAUGAACUGUAAUGUCAUUAAUUUGGUGUUGUAGGGAAUCAGGACUGUUACUUUGAAAAAAUUAGAGUGUUUAAAGCAGGCUAAGGCUUGAAUACAUUAGCAUGGAAUAAUAAAAUAGGACGUUUGAUCCUAUUUUGUUGGUUUCUAGGAUCGACGUAAUGAUUAAUAGGGAUAGUUGGGGGCAUUAGUAUUCAAUUGUCAGAGGUGAAAUUCUUGGAUUUAUUGAAGACUAACUACUGCGAAAGCAUUUGCCAAGGAUGUUUUCAUUAAUCAAGAACGAAAGUUAGGGGAUCGAAGACGAUCAGAUACCGUCGUAGUCUUAACCAUAAACUAUGCCGACUAGGGAUCGGAUGAUGUUAAUUUUUUAAUGACUCAUUCGGCGCCUUA